GAUGAACGCUAGCUACAGGCUUAACACAUGCAAGUCGAGGGACCGGCGCACGGGUGAGUAACGCGUAUCCAACCUACCCAAUACUCAGGCAUAACCCGUUGAAAGACGGACUAAUUCCUGAUGGUAUUGGAUGGGGAUGCGUCUGAUUAGUUUGUUGGUGAGGUAACGGCUCACCAAGACUUCGAUCAGUAGGGGUUCUGAGAGGAAGGUCCCCCACAUUGGAACGGAGACACGGUCCAAACUCCUACGGGAGGCAGCAGUGAGGAAUAUUGGUCAAUGGAUGCAAAUCUGAACCAGCCAAGUAGCGUGCAGGAUGACGGCCUAUGGGUUGUAAAGUUCUUCGUUUGAGGAAGGUUAAAUACAGAAGAAGCACCGGCUAACUCCGUGCCAGCCGCCGCGGUAAUAC
rnacentral:rRNA from 1 species